UGACCGGAAUGUCGUUAAACUAUCAAGGCAAGGGACGCGACCCCGUUAAAAGCGUA
rnacentral:ncRNA from 1 species